UAGGGAAUCUUGCGCAAUGGGCGAAAGCCUGACGCAGCAACGCCGCGUGCGGGAUGAAGGCCUUCGGGUUGUAAACCGCUUUCAGUGGGGACGAAACAAGACGGUACCCACAGAAGAAGCCCCGGCCAACUACGUGCCAGCAGCCGCGGUAACACGUAGGGGGCAAGCGUUGUCCGGAUUUAUUGGGCGUAAAGGGCGCGUAGGCGGACGUUUAAGUCAGGGUGAAAUCCCCCGGGCUCAACCUCGGAAUUGCCUUUGAUACUGGAUGUCUCGAGACCGGAAGAGGUAAGUGGAACUGCGAGUGUAGAGGUGAAAUUCGUAGAUAUUCGCAAGAACACCAGUGGCGAAGGCGGCUUACUGGACGGUAACUGACGUUGAGGCUCAAAAGCGUGGGGAGCAAACAGGAUUAGAUACCC
rnacentral:rRNA from 1 species